rnacentral:lncRNA from 1 species
UAAGAUUGGUUUUGCAUGUUAACUUGAACAGUCUUGAUAAUUGAUGAUGAGUUCUAAUUUUAAUAAUGAUGAUAAUCUGAGCCUGUCUUAAACUUAUGUAACCGGUUAGCACUUAAAGUUUAACAAUUUUAAUCCACUUGGUUCAAGGGUUACAUAAUUUGUUUAUGAGGGAAAAUCUUGGUAAAUAUUUAUGGAAAUUAGUGAACUGGCGGUAAAGGUUGAAAUGAUGUAAAAGCUUGAGUUUGGGGGAAUCUAUGGGAUAUAUAUAUACCAAAAAAAAGAAAAAAAAGAAAUGAUGAAAAGAAAAAAAAACAAAAUCCAGAAAAAGAAAAAAAAAGAGAGAAUAAACACCGUAACAUGCUUGUCUAGUUUUGUGGCCUUUGUUACUUAAGUAAGUAAGCCUGAGGGGAUUGUCUUUACACCUAGCGCCCUAAGGUCUUAAUGUCUUGGGAGUAGUUGGUCGAAAGCUCGUUAAGGUAGCAUUGAAAAGCCUAAUGGAAUAAGACAUUGCACAGCCAUGAGAAAAUGAAAUAAAAAAAUGAAUAACACACGAGAAAGAGCAAAAAUGCCCUCGUGGUUGAAUA